rnacentral:rRNA from 1 species
AGAGCGAACGCUGGCGGCAGGCUUAACACAUGCAAGUCGAGCGGGCGUAGCAAUACGUCAGCGGCAGACGGGUGAGUAACGCGUGGGAACGUACCUUUUGGUUCGGAACAACCCAGGGAAACUUGGGCUAAUACCGGAUAAGCCCUUACGGGGAAAGAUUUAUCGCCGAAAGAUCGGCCCGCGUCUGAUUAGCUAGUUGGUGAGGUAAUGGCUCACCAAGGCGACGAUCAGUAGCUGGUACUGAGAGGAUGAUCAGCCACAUUGGGACUGAGACACGGCCCAAACUCCUACGGGAGGCAGCAGUGGGGAAUAUUGGACAAUGGGCGCAAGCCUGAUCCAGCCAUGCCGCGUGAGUGAUGAAGGCCCUAGGGUUGUAAAGCUUCUUUGUGCGGGAAGAUAAUGACGGUACCGCAAGAAUAAGCCCCGGCUAACUCGUGCCAGCAGCCGC